UGGGGAAUAUUGCACAAUGGAGGGAACUCUGAUGCAGCGACGCCGCGUGAACGAAGAAGGCUUUCGAGUCGUAAAGUUCUUUUAUAUGGGAAGAUAAUGACGGUACCAUAAGAAGAAGCCCCGGCUAACUACGUGCCAGCAGCCGCGGUAAUACGUAGGGGGCUAGCGUUGUCCGGAAUCACUGGGCGUAAAGGGUUCGCAGGCGGAAAUGCAAGUCAGGUGUAAAAGGCAGUAGCUUAACUACUGUAAGCAUUUGAAACUGCAUAUCUUGAGAAGAGUAGAGGUAAGUGGAAUUUGUAGUGUAGCGGUGAAAUGCGUAGAUAUUAAAAAGAAUACCGGUGGCGAAGGCGACUUACUGGGCUCAGUCUGACGCUGAGGAACGAAAGCGUGGGUAGCAAACAGG
rnacentral:rRNA from 1 species